UACCUCAAAAAACCACAACAGUCUGUUUCAUCCGUAUAGGAAUCAUCAGGUGGUCUGAUGAUUCCUAUACGGAUGAAACAGACUGUUGUGGUUUUU